UCCCGUUAACGGGAUCCCAGCCAUAAGAAACUGAGAAAUUGUAUGACCAUAAACAGCAGAUUAUCUUAUGAGCCACAAKUCUGCAUGCCUUGUAUAAUGUUAUAACUGCAUGACAACAAAUGCUUUAGAAAUGAGUUGCUUGCUUUGUACUCUCUUUGUUUAUAGUCAUGUAAUAUAUCUGAAUUUACAGUCUGUCUAAACACCCCUUUUUAUUCAGACGGUAACAAGAGGAGGUAUCAGAUUCUGAGAAAUUGUAGAGGACAAGGCAGCCUUGACAGCUGACAUUGUUCAACUUCACAAGCAGCAGGCAGAGUUUAGGCUCCCCACAGUGGCUGCUCAAUACUGACAACUUUGUGGCCAUGGGAGAGACUUGGCACCAGCAAUCUGGGCAGACUGAUGUUGGUGGACAGACUGCAGGAGGAAGAGAGGAUCCUGGUGCAGGAGAUGAAGAAGCACUGGGGGAGCCUACAAAGAGCAGCAGGAACUCUAGAGGCACUGUCCCUACAGCUGCAAUAUCAGAGCAAUGCAGUGGAGAUGUCGGAGGGAGGGAGGAAUGGCCUUCUCUGCCUCCUGAAGAGAAGAUUGAAUGAACUGACACAAGACACCAGGAACACCUACCACAAGCUGAUUCUGGGAGAAAGGGCUAUUUUUGAUGACUCUGAUGUAGAUUAAAACUCAGAUGAAGAUAGAAGUCCUAUUGCUGAGAGCUCAGAUGACAACUGCUAUGCUUUCUGAAAUCAUACACCACCCCUACCUCUUUCUCUCUGUCUCGCUCUCUCCCGCAGGAGGGAGAAAGCAGCCACCACCUCCCUCGGGAGCAGCCUGGUCUUCCGACGUUGACCCCUGACCCCUCACCUUCUGAACCCAUCCAGGGGAAUGUCAUUUGCCUGAUGAUGUGCUAGUGGAGAAGGAAUGUGUCAUUUCAGUGCAUUUGUUGCCAUAGUCCCUCACCUCCUCGACUCCGUUUCUUCCGGUCCUAGAGGAUGGCGACAUCAUUAGCAACUCAGAAUGUUGGUUGAGGACCUCUUUACUGAGGAAUGUGGUUGUUCUUCAUGAUUGUUUUAUAUAAAAUAUAUUGGAGUAUUUUCUA